rnacentral:rRNA from 1 species
UACGUAGGUGGCAAGCGUUGUCCGGAUUUACUGGGCGUAAAGAGCGCGCAGGCGGUCGUCCAAGUCGCGUGUGAAAGCCCCCGGCUCAACUGGGGAGGGUCACGCGAUACUGGUCGACUCGAAGGCAGGAGAGGGUAGUGGAAUUCCCGGUGUAGUGGUGAAAUGCGCAGAUAUCAGGAGGAACACCAAUGGCGAAGGCAGCUCUCUGGUACGUGACUGACACUGAGACGCGAAAGCGUGGGGAGCGAACAGG